rnacentral:rRNA from 1 species
AAUAGAUACCCCGGUAGUCCACGCCGUAAACGAUGAGUGCUAAGUGUUAGGGGGUUUCCACCCCUUAGUGCUGUAGCUAACGCAUUAAGCACUCCGCCUGGGGAGUACGGUCGCAAGACUGAAACUCAAAGGAAUUGACGGGGGCCCGCACAAGCGGUGGAGCAUGUGGUUUAAUUCGAAGCAACGCGAAGAACCUUACCAGGUCUUGACAUCCCGGUGACCGCUCUAGAGAUAGAGCUUUCCCUUCGGGGACAGCGGUGACAGGUGGUGCAUGGUUGUCGUCAGCUCGUGUCGUGAGAUGUUGGGUUAAGUCCCGCAACGAGCGCAACCCUUGUUCUUAGUUGCCAUCAUUCAGUUGGGCACUCUAAGGAGACUGCCGCAGACAAUGCGGAGGAAGGUGGGGAUGACGUCAAAUCAUCAUGCCCCUUAUGACCUGGGCUACACACGUGCUAUAAUGGACGGUACAAACGGUUGCCAAGUCGCGAGACGGAGCUAAUCCGAGAAAACCGUUCUCAGUUCGGAUUGCAGGCUGCAAC